GAUGAACGCUGGCGGCGUGCCUAAUACAUGCAAGUCGAGCGAACAGACGAGGAGCUUGCUCCUCUGACGUUAGCGGCGGACGGGUGAGUAACACGUGGAUAACCUACCUAUAAGACUGGGAUAACUUCGGGAAACCGGAGCUAAUACCGGAUAAUAUAUUGAACCGCAUGGUUCAAUAGUGAAAGACGGUUUUGCUGUCACUUAUAGAUGGAUCCGCGCCGCAUUAGCUAGUUGGUAAGGUAACGGCUUACCAAGGCAACGAUGCGUAGCCGACCUGAGAGGGUGAUCGGCCACACUGGAACUGAGACACGGUCCAGACUCCUACGGGAGGCAGCAGUAGGGAAUCUUCCGCAAUGGGCGAGAGCGUGACGGAGCAACGCCGCGUGAGUGAUGAAGGUCUUCGGAUCGUAAAACUCUGUUAUUAGGGAAGAACAAAUGUGUAAGUAACUAUGCACGUCUUGACGGUACCUAAUCAGAAAGCCACGGCUAACUACGUG
rnacentral:rRNA from 1 species